AUGAACGCUGGCGGCGUGCCUAACACAUGCAAGUCGAACGGACCUUGCUCAACAGAGGUACUUGUACCGAAGGAGAGCGCUGGUUAGUGGCGGACGGGUGAGUAACACGUGGGUAAUUAACCUUCCGGACCGGGAUAACAUCGGGAAACUGGUGCUAAUACCGGAUACGAUUCACGGGCGGCAUCGCCUGUGGAUGAAAAGAGGCCUCUCGAAGAAGCUCCUGCUGGAAGACAAGCCCGCGGCUGAUUAGCUAGUUGGUAAGGUAACGGCUUACCAAGGCAACGAUCAGUAGCCGGCCUGAGAGGGUGAACGGCCACACUGGGACUGAGACACGGCCCAGACUCCUACGGGAGGCAGCAGUGGGGAAUAUUGCGCAAUGGGGGAAACCCUGACGCAGCAACGCCGCGUGAAUGAAGAAGGCCUUCGGGUUGUAAAGUUCUGUCAAUUGGGAAGAAGCCCCAGGGGUCAAUAGCUCCUGGGAUGACGGUACCUAAGAAGGAAGCUCCGGCUAACUACGUG
rnacentral:rRNA from 1 species